rnacentral:lncRNA from 1 species
GUGCAGUGUGUGUGUGUGUGUGUGUGUGUGUAGGAGUCUAGUGUGUGUUUGAAGGACCCAGAAUGUGGAUAGGAGAUCUAGUGAGUGUGUGUAUAUAGCGGAUUCAGAGUGUAUAUAGGGAUCUAGUGUGUGUAUAUGUGUAGAUGAUCCAGAGUUGGGUAAGGGAUCUAGUGUGUGUCUGGAAUGUAAUGUAUUUAGGGGUGCAGUAUGUCUGUG